UUCUAGUUUAUUUUUCACGUUUUUUGCCAAGGAAAUUGAGCCCUUUGUGUUUAAAUGCAGACCAUGGGUAUUUAAUUAUCUGGCGUUUAUCGAUGUUAUUAAUGUCUAUUAGACCCCAGUUUGCUCGAUACAUAAAUCAUUAAGCAGUUUAUUACAUUUUCUUACCUUCGUAACCAAUUAUAAAGAUAGGUCGUGAACAUUAAAAGCAAAGUGACUAAAUAUAUAGUGAUGUGGUUUAGCAAUCCCUUUUGAUAUUAAUAAUUAACUAACUUAAGGUGCUUUUCUAUAGCAUACAGAAAAGCACCUUAAUCCCGUAAUUGCCUCAUUGAAGAUGUCACUGGACCUUCAAAUGUUAAAUUAACACUUUAUCCAAAUGUUUCAAUAGUCAAACGAGAUAUAUAUUCUUG